UUUCUUUAAGAAAGUAAGAUCCCUGAGAGAUGGUCAGGUAGAUAGGUCAGGAGUGGAAGUACAGUGAUGUAUGGAGCGGACUGAUACUAAUCGAUCGAGGACUUAACCAA
rnacentral:rRNA from 1 species